CUAAAUUUGAUUCUCCGAGUCUUUAUUCCUACGGUUAAGUCUAAGGAAUAAAGAACUGAGUAACGUACUCACGGGGUAUGGUUGGAAACGGCUGUGCCUCCACAUUUUGGAAAGGAGAAAAAAUAAGGAUGUA
rnacentral:ncRNA from 2 species